GUUGGAUUCUGUCUUCAUAUGCAUUCUCCUAGCCUGUGUCUUUUUAUAGAACUCUCAUCCAGUGGCUGAUGGAGGCAGAGACAGACAACUACAGCUGUGAACCAACUUAAUUUCCUGGAACCCAUUUGCAAAGAGGAGUGAUGACCAAAGGAAUCAAGAUCAGGCUGGUGAAACCCAUAGAGGCAGUUGACCUAAACAAGGGGGAACAUAUUUACCCCAGACUGAUGACUAAGGGGCCAUCAUGGAACUGAUACAGAUAUCACUCCCACCAAACCUGGGUGACAGAGAGGAGGUCUUGGGUAUCUGUGGGACCUUAGAUAGUAGAGCAGUAUUUAUUCUUGGCAUGCAGAUGGCCUUUGAGAUCCCAUUCUACAUGGACCAAUGCUCUCUCAGCCUGGACAUAUGGAGGAGGAUCUAGGCCCUGCCUGGGAUGAUGUGACAGACUCUGAAAAUCCCCCCAUGGAAGCCUUUGUCCUCCCUGGGAAGUGGAGGGGCGAUUGAGUGGUGGUGAAGUGUUAGGAGGAUUGAAGGGUAGGGGAGAAGGUGAGGGAGAGGGAACUGAGGUUGACUUUUGUAAAAAGUUAAAGAAAAAAGAAAAAAUAUUUUGCUAUAUACACAAUAGAAUUGCAUUGAGUCAUAAUGAAUUGUAUAAUUAUAUAAUUUGAAGAGCAGUGGAUGGAACUAGGGAUUUCCAAAGUAAUAUUAAGUUAAAUAAACAUUACUCAGCAAAACAUA